GACGAACGCUGGCGGCGUGCUUAACACAUGCAAGUCGAACGGAAAGGCCCGGCUUUUGUGGGGUGCUCGAGUGGCGAACGGGAGAGUAACACGUGAGUAACCUGCCCUUGACUGGGGGCGAAAGUCAGGAAACUGGGGCUAAUACCGGAUAGGAGCUCGUGCUGCCUGGUGGGGGUUGGAAAGUUUCGGCGGUUGGGGAUGGACUCGCGGCGGAUCAGCUUGUUGGUGGGGUAGUGGCUUACCAAGGCUUUGACGGGUAGCCGGCCUGAGAGGGUGACCGGCCACAUUGGGACUGAGAUACGCCCCAGACUACUACGGGAGGCAGCAGUGGGGAAGAUUGCACAAUGGGCGGAAGCCGGGUGCAGCAACGCCGCGUGCGGGAUGACGGCCUUCGGGUUGUAAACCGCUUUCGCCUGUGACGAGGCGUGAGUGACGGUAAUGGGUAAAGAAGCACCGGCUAACUACGUG
rnacentral:rRNA from 1 species